rnacentral:rRNA from 1 species
GGAUCCAGACUUUGAUCAUGGCUCAGGAUGAACGCUAGCGGCAGGCCUAACACAUGCAAGUCGAGGGGCAGCACGGUGUAGCAAUACACUGGUGGCGACCGGCGCACGGGUGCGUAACGCGUAUGCAACCUACCCAUAACAGGGGGAUAACACUGAGAAAUUGGUACUAAUACCCCAUAACAUCAGAACCGGCAUCGGUUCUGGUUGAAAACUCCGGUGGUUAUGGAUGGGCAUGCGUUGUAUUAGCUGGUUGGUGAGGUAACGGCUCACCAAGGCAACGAUACAUAGGGGGACUGAGAGGUUAACCCCCCACAUUGGUACUGAGACACGGACCAAACUCCUACGGGAGGCAGCAGUGAGGAAUAUUGGUCAAUGGACGCAAGUCUGAACCAGCCAUGCCGCGUGCAGGAAGACGGCUCUAUGAGUUGUAAACUGCUUUUGUACGAGAGUAAACGCUCUUACGUGUAAGAGCCUGAAAGUAUC